rnacentral:tRNA from 1 species
GGGUCGUUAACUCAAUGGUAGAGUAGUUGCCUUUUAAGCAAUAGGUUAUAGGUUCGAGUCCUAUACGACCCA